rnacentral:lncRNA from 1 species
AUAAAUCACCUUUCUGCGUAUGCAUAAAGGAUUCAAUUUACGCAUUAUUUCUUUGGGAGUCAAAGGGUAGACUCCCUUUGAGAAGGGCAACUUGCUAGUCUCACUAGAAUCGUCCUUCUUAUUGAAGUUUAUCAUUAUAUGAGAAACUUCCUAGCAUCCAUUGUCUAUUAUUAGGGAUUGAUAUAAUCCAAUUAUAUAAUGAAAUAUAUCAUUAUAGAUUUCCAUCCCAUGUAUAUAGACCAUAUCUCCCAUAUACAUUCUAUCUUCAUAUAAUGUAUUAAAGUCAUAACUUUAACGAAGAAGCAUUCUUUUCAUUUCCAAAAUUAAUAUAUAUAUAUUUAAAUUUUAGGAACAUGAUUAACUCCCACUAAUCUUUUGUAAAACUCGUAAACAAAAGAUUCAUUUACAUCUUG